rnacentral:misc_RNA from 1 species
AUCCUUCCCUGCUUAUAAGGAUUCAUCCUGCAAUCAAAUCCUUUUAGCAUACAUAAUCAUAGAUUCAUGGCCUAUUUUUAUGAAACUGUAAUAUCAGUAAUGCAAGCAAGGAAAUGAUAUUUAUAUCAUGACCCAUUAACAUAAGGUUAAAGUAUUAAUUUUGCAAAACUUUCUGUUAAGUGAACAAGCAACAUAGCUGUUAAGCAAAAUUAAAGGGUAAUACACAUGUAACCACAAAUCCACAGUCAUAUAGAUGACUGGCUAAACUGGUCUCCUUAAUCCUGGUGUAGAAGAGAUGGUUAAAAAAUAUCCAUGAUUGAGAUAAACAAACAGCAGCAGCCCUUGAAAAUUUAACAAAAUAAAGAAACUAG